UACGUAGGGGGCAAGCGUUGUCCGGAAUCAUUGGGCGUAAAGAGCGUGUAGGCGGCUUGGUAAGUCCGCUGUGAAAGUCCAGGGCUCAACCCUGGAAUGCCGGUGGAAACUGUCAAGCUUGAGUCCGGAAGAGGCGAGUGGAAUUCCUGGUGUAGCGGUGAAAUGCGAAGAUAUCAGGAGGAACACCAAUGGCGAAGGCAGCUCGCUGGGACGGUACUGACGCUGAGACGCGAAAGCGUGGGGAGCAAACAGG
rnacentral:rRNA from 1 species